rnacentral:rRNA from 1 species
AUGCCGGAGGGCACGGUGGUGGCAGCGACGGUCUUUGAGCCGUCGUCGGUGAGGGAGCGCGACCGUGGAGGCCGGGCUGAGGUGGGGAUCCCCGACCGGGUGGUCGUGGAGGUGGAGGAUGACACCCCGCCGCGGGCCGACGUGGUCGAGCGAGAGGGGACUGAUGGUGGUGGAGGCGGCGUCGUUUUGGAAGAGACGCUGCGGGCGGCGGUGCCGGAGGCCACCCUGGCAGCUGGGCCGGAGACGGCGACGCAGGGCGUCCCGGCGUCCGGGUCAGAGACGGCGACGCGGGGCGUCCCGGCGUCCGGGUCAUUGUCGGCGCUGGGAGGGGCGUUGGAGGAGGUGCUGGCCGCGUCGUGA